rnacentral:rRNA from 1 species
CCUACGGGAGGCAGCAGUGAGGAAUAUUGGUCAAUGGGCGAGAGCCUGAACCAGCCAAGUCGCGUGAAGGAUGACGGCCCUACGGGUUGUAAACUUCUUUUGUCAGGGAGCAAUUGAGUCCACGUGUGGGCUUAGCGAGAGUACCUGAAGAAAAAGCAUCGGCUAACUCCGUGCCAGCAGCCGCGGUACUACGGAGGAUGCUAGCGUUAUCCGGAUUUAUUGGGUUAAAAGGGUGCGUAGGCGGAAUAUAAAGUCAGCGGUAAAAAUUCGGGGCUAAACCCCGUCGUGCCGUUGAAACUGAUAUUCUUGAGUGGGCGAGAAGUAAGCGGAAUGCGUGGUGUAGCGGUGAAAUGCAUAGAUAUCACGCAGAACACCGAUGGCGAAGGCAGCAUACCGGCGCCCAACUGACGCUGAAGCACGAAAGCGUGGGUAGCGAACAGGAUUAGAUACCCGGGUAGUC